rnacentral:rRNA from 1 species
UACGUAGGGUGCAGGCGUUAAUCGGAAUUACUGGGCGUAAAGCGCACGUAGGCGGUUUGUUAAGUCGGAUGUGAAAGCCCUGGGCUCAACCCAGGAAGUGCAUUCGAAACUGGCAAGCUUGAGUAUGGAAGAGGGUCGCGGAAUUCCCGGUGUAGAGGUGAAAUUCGUAGAUAUCGGGAGGAACACCAGUGGCGAAGGCGGCGACCUGGGCCAAUACUGACGCUGAGGUGCGAAAGCGUGGGGAGCAAACAGG